UGAUUGUCUGUGAGGAAGGAUCUCUUUCUGGAGAUUCCUCCCUGGUGAAGCUUUUCCCCUAUGAACCUAGAAUCUCCUGAUACAGAUGUAUCUUAACUUGCAUACAGAUGCACGGUGGAAGCACAGCAAGGAGAUUUGAGGAGACAACAAAACCAGGAUACAUUUUUUGGCCUUCGGAUUGUGAUUUCCCAUUGUUUUUGUGAUCAGAUAGCAACACCACACAACAUCCUUCUCAGCCACUUAUAUCAAAAUUGUCUUUCAUCCAUCAUGGUUAGAAGAACUACAUAAGAGUCUGAAGUACUUGGCUGGACUUGUGCUGUGCUACUUGGACACUCACCUGAAGCUGCUGUGUAGG